AGUGAACGCUGGCGGUAGGCCUAACACAUGCAAGUCGAACGGCAGCACAGUAAGCGCUUGCUCUUACGGGUGGCGAGUGGCGGACGGGUGACGCAUACAUCGGAAUCUACUUUUUCGUGGGGGAUAACGUAGGGAAACUUAUGCUAAUACCGCAUACGUCCUACGGGUGAAAGCAGGGGAUCUUCGGACCAUUCGCGAAUGAAUGAGCCGAGGUCGGAUUAGCUAGUUGGCGGGGUAAAGGCCCACCAAGGCGACGAUCCGUAGCUGGCCUGAGAGGAGGAUCAGCCACACUGGAACUGGGACACGGUCCAGACUCCUACGGGAGGCGGCAGUGGGGAAUAUUGGACAAUGGGCGCAAGCUUGAUCCAGCCAUACCGCGUGGGUGAAGAAGGCCUUCGGGUGGUAAAGCCCUUUUGUUGGGAAAGAAAAGCAGCAGGGUAAUACCCCGCUGUUCUGACGGUACCCAAAGAAUAAGCACCGGCUAACUUCGUG
rnacentral:rRNA from 1 species